GAUGAACGCUGGCGGCGUGCUUAACACAUGCAAGUCGAACGGAGGUUAUGUGGGUGCUUGCACCGGUAUAACUUUAGUGGCGGACGGGUGAGUAACGCGUGGGCAACCUGGCCUGUGGAGGGGGAUAACAAUGAGAAAUCAUUGCUAAUACCGCAUAAGCUUACACUAAAGCAUUUUAGAGUAAGAAAUGAUUUAUCGCCGCAGGAUGGGCCCGCGUCUGAUUAGCUAGUUGGUGUGGUAACGGCAUACCAAGGCAACGAUCAGUAGCCGACCUGAGAGGGUGAACGGCCACAUUGGGACUGAGACACGGCCCAAACUCCUACGGGAGGCAGCAGUGGGGAAUAUUGCACAAUGGGGGAAACCCUGAUGCAGCGACGCCGCGUGGGUGAAGACGGCCUUCGGGUUGUAAAGCCCUGUUGAGGGGGACGAUAAUGACGGUACCCCUUUAGAAAGCCACGGCUAACUACGUGCCAGCAGCCGCAGU
rnacentral:rRNA from 1 species